rnacentral:tRNA from 6 species
CUAUCGAACCGUUUUAGAAACAUCAGUGGCCAACGGUCGUCAGGAUCGUUGAGCUGCAUUGGCGGGAUUUCGCCGUCUUCGUUUCUCUUUCUUCGCGGACGAACACGCGCUGGGGCUGCAACCUUGCAGAAUCCCUGGUCCUUGACUGGAUAUGCGUUAGGGGCUUGUAGCUCAGUUGGUUAGAGCGCGCGCUUGAUAAGCGUGAGGUCGGAAGUUCAAGUCUUCCCAGGCCCACCACACUCAUCGAGUGAGCAUUCGUCUUCUGGUUACGGGGCCAUAGCUCAGCUGGGAGAGCGCGUGCUUUGCAAGCAUGAGGUCGUCGGUUCGAUCCCGUCUGGCUCCACCAGAUGGUUUGAUCACCGACUACUCUUACCGUCGUCCGCGAAACAUCACUUCGCACUUACUAGUCCGGAUGGACAGUAAGCUGCGUGAUUUCUGACAUCGUAAAGAGGAGAUCGAUCCGAGUUGGAUCGGGCAACAAGUAAUUGUUGCGCGAUACUCCAUUAUCUCCGGAUCAUUUCGGCGCUCGUGCGUCUUUUAGCGUAGCUCACAAGGCUGCAUUGAAAGACAAGCGAGUUGUAAAUGAUCCUUUUAGCGAAGCUUGACCGCCUCGCUAUCGGAACGAUCUUACGAAGCAAGCUGGUCUUUCUAAUCAUUGUCCGGCUGCAGAUAGCGUUCAUCGAGGGCGCGUGCCGCAAGGUAAUUCUGCAGACAACAUUCUGCCGAGUGUGUGGACAUUGAUAAUGAGAG